rnacentral:rRNA from 1 species
GACGAACGCUGGCGGCGUGCUUAAUACAUGCAAGUCGAACGGAAAGGCCCUGCUUUUGUGGGGUGCUCGAGUGGCGAACGGGUGAGUAAAACGUGAGUAACCUGCCCUUGACUUUGGGAUAACUUCAGGAAACUGGGGCUAAUAUCGGAUAGGAGCUCUUGCUGCAUGGUGGGGGAUGGAAAGUUUCGGUGGUUGGGGAUGGUCUCGCGGCUUAUCAGCUUGUUGGUGGGGUAGUGGCUUACCACGGCUUUGAGGGGUAGCCGGCCUGAGAGGGUGGCCGGGCUCAUUGCGACUGAGGUACGGCCCAGACUCCUACGGGACGCAGCGGUGGGGAGUAUUACGCAGUGGGCGGAAGCCUGUUACGGCAGCGCUGCGUGCGGAAUGACGGCCUUCGGGUUGUAAACCGCUUUCGCCUGUGACGAAGCGUGAGUGACGGUAAUGGGUAAGAAAGCACCGGCUAACUACGUG